rnacentral:rRNA from 1 species
GACGAACGCUGGCGGCGUGCUUAACACAUGCAAGUCGAGCGGGAAACUUCGGUUUCCAGCGGCGGACGGGUGAGUAACACGUGGGCAACCUGCCUCACAAUGAGGGAUAGCCUUCCGAAAGGAAGAUUAAUACCUCAUAACACAAGAGAAACGCAUGUUUCUUUUGCCAAAGAAUUUCGUUGUGAGAUGGGCCCGCGGCGCAUUAGCUUGUUGGUGAGGUAACGGCUCACCAAGGCUUCGAUGCGUAGCCGACCUGAGAGGGUGAUCGGCCACGUUGGAACUGAGACACGGUCCAGACUCCUACGGGAGGCAGCAGUGAGGAAUAUUGCACAAUGGAGGAAACUCUGAUGCAGCAACGCCGCGUGAGUGAUGAAGGUCUUCGGAUUGUAAAGCUCUGUCUUCUGGGACGAUAAUGACGGUACCAGAGGAGGAAGCCACGGCUAACUACGUGCCAGCAGCCGCGGUAA